AUAUACAUCCCUACAACAUAGCGUUAAUACACUGGAUCACAUUAGAACUCCAUAGUUAAGUGCGCUUAGGCUAGAGUAGUAUUGGCAUGGGUGAAAGCGCUGGAAGUCCUAGUAUUUUACAUG
rnacentral:rRNA from 1 species